GCCGGCGUAGCUCAAUUGGUAGAGCACCUGAUUUGUAAUCAGGGGGUUGCGGGUUCGAGUCCUGUCGCCGGCUC
rnacentral:tRNA from 1 species